UUUUAGCCUCUAGUAGUGGAGGAGGACAAGAGCCCAUCUAUGAGAGCAGCCAUAGCUAAGGAGGGAAGGCUGAAGGGAGAAGCUAAUCAAAAAUCCUUCUUCUCUCUCUGAGCCAACCUUAAACCAUCAGCUGUCUAUGUUUUCUCUUUACCACCAACAAACCACUCCAUUACAAUACCUUACUGUAUUCAUAGCUAGUUCUGAGUGGCUGCAAGUUUUCAGUGAAUCCAGAAUUGUAUGACCCUGGGCAAGAUGCAGUCUUUGCUUUUUUGGUCUAUGCUUUGAUCCUUACCAAGAUAGACUCUCUGCUUCCUUGUGACCCACCACAAGCACUCCUUUCUGCACUGGAACUGCAACCGGAUACUGUGUUAGAGCUCUAUACCUAGAUGAUGAUGAUGGCAAUGAUAAUGAUGCUGGUGGUGGUGAUGAUGAAUAAAGGAAAAGAUGCUGUUGCCCACUAAGUACUAAGAUUCCAAAGACCACCUCUUCUAUAACAUGCUCAGAGCUUUUCAGGGGGAGAAUAAUGUUCAAUGUCUACCUACUUAAUAAAUGAAAAUUGAAUUGAA